rnacentral:rRNA from 1 species
UACGUAGGGAGCAAGCGUUGUCCGGAAUCAUUGGGCGUAAAGCGCGCGUAGGUGGCCCGAUAAGUCCGCUCUGAAAGUCACAGGCUCAACCUGUGAAAGCGCGUGGAUACUGUCGGGCUAGAGUCCGGAAGAGGCGAGUGGAAUUCCUGGUGUAGCGGUGGGAAUGCGCAGAUAUCAGGAGGAACACCAACGGCGAAGGCAGCUCGCUGGGACGGUACUGA